ACCGUCCCUGCUCCUUGCACACGGGUUUUAGUCAGGCAACGAGCGAGACCCGCACUCCUAAUUGCCAGCAGCAGUUUCGACUGGCUGGGUACAUUAGGAGGACUGCCAGUGCCAAACUGGAGGAAGGAACGGGCAACGGUAGGUCAGUAUGCCCCGAAUGAGCUGGGCUACACGCGGGCUACAAUGGUCGAGACAAUGGGAAGCCACCUCGAGAGAGGGCGCUAAUCUCCGAAACUCGAUCGUAGUUCGGAUUGCGGGCUGAAA
rnacentral:rRNA from 1 species